rnacentral:piRNA from 1 species
UAUCAGUUCAAAUGAAGUCAU